rnacentral:rRNA from 1 species
GAUGAACGCUGGCGGCGUGCCUAAUACAUGCAAGUCGAGCGAACGGACGAGAAGCUUGCUUCUCUGAUGUUAGCGGCGGGCGGGUGAGUAACACGUGGAUAACCUACCUAUAAGACUGGGAUAACUUCGGGAAACCGGAGCUAAUACCGGAUAAUAUUUUGAACCGCAUGGUUCAAAAGUGAAAGACGGUCUUGCUGUCACUUAUAGAUGGAUCCGCGCUGCAUUAGCUAGUUGGUAAGGUAACGGCUUACCAAGGCAACGAUGCAUAGCCGACCUGAGAGGGUGAUCGGCCACACUGGAACUGAGACACGGUCCAGACUCCUACGGGAGGCAGCAGUAGGGAAUCUUCCGCAAUGGGCGAAAGCCUGACGGAGCAACGCCGCGUGAGUGAUGAAGGUCUUCGGAUCGUAAAACUCUGUUAUUAGGGAAGAACAUAUGUGUAAGUAACUGUGCACAUCUUGACGGUACCUAAUAAGAAAGCCACGGCUAACUACGUG